GAUGACUUUCGCAAGAAUUUCCCUAGGUUCAAGCCAGAGAAUUUUGAGCAUAACAAGCAAGUAUUUGUGAAUAUCAAUCUAAUGGCUGCAAGGAAAGGAUGCACUCCUUCACAAUUAGCAUUGGCAUGGAUUCUUCACCAAGGAGAUGAUGUAUGCCCUAUACCAGGCACUACGAAGAUUGGAAACUUCAACGAAAACGUAGGAUCCUUAUCUGUAAAAUUGACAGAGGAAGACAUGAAAGAACUCGAAUCGUAUACCUCUGGCGAUGUUGUCAAAGGUGAGAGACAUUUAUACAUGUCGUCAACUUGGAUAAAUU
rnacentral:misc_RNA from 1 species